AGCGAACGCUGGCGGCAGGCCUAACACAUGCAAGUCGAACGAACCUUUCGGGGUUAGUGGCGGACGGGUGAGUAACACGUGGGAACGUGCCUUUAGGUUCGGAAUAACUCAGGGAAACUUGUGCUAAUACCGAAUGUGCCCUUCGGGGGAAAGAUUUAUCGCCUUUAGAGCGGCCCGCGUCUGAUUAGCUAGUUGGUUGAGGUAAUGGCUCACCAAGGCGACGAUCAGUAGCUGGUCUGAGAGGAUGAUCAGCCACAUUGGGACUGAGACACGGCCCAAGCUCCUACGGGAGGCAGCAGUGGGGAAUCUUGCGCAAUGGGCGAAAGCCUGACGCAGCCAUGCCGCGUGAAUGAUGAAGGUCUUAGGAUUGUAAAAUUCUUUCACCGGGGACGAUAAUGACGGUACCCGGAGAAGAAGCCCCGGCUAACUUCGUG
rnacentral:rRNA from 1 species